rnacentral:rRNA from 1 species
GACGAACGCUGGCGGCGUGCCUAAUACAUGCAAGUUGAGCGCUGAAGGGUGGUGCUUGUUCCAACUGGGUGAGCAGCGAACGGGUGAGUAACGCGUGGGGAAUCUGCCUUUGAGCGGGGGACAACAUUUGGAAACGAAUGCUAAUACCGCAUAAAAACUUUAAACACAAGGUUUAAGUGUGAAAGAUGCAAUUGCAUCACUCAAAGAUUAUCCCGCGUUGUAUUAGCUAGUUGGUUAGGUAAAGGCUCACCAAAGCGAAGAUACAUAGCCGACCUGAGAGGGUGGUCGGCCCAAUUGGGACUGAGACAAGGCCCAAACCCCUACGGGAGGGAGCAGUAGGGAAUCUUCGGCCAUGGAGGAAAGUCUGACCGAGCAAAGCCGCGUGAGUGAAGAAGGUUGUCGGAUCGUAAAACUCUGUUGGUAGAGAAGAAAGUUGGUGAGAGUGGAAAGCUCAUCAAGUGACGGUAACUACCCAGAAAGGGACGGCUAACUACGUG